rnacentral:lncRNA from 1 species
AUUUAUUUAUUUUUUAUGGUGGGAAAAGAGGGGAAAUUCUGAUUUGUAUUGUGAAUGGGUGGGGGGAGAUCUGGGAUUACGCCUUCCGUGUCUAUCUUGAAGGACUUGCAAUGGGUUGCACUUGGGGGAAAUCUGCCUAACUAAAAAGACAAUAUCUGGGCCUACAGUUUCAACCUCCUUGAACUAUAUUGUGUGCUCCCUGAUGAAUAACCUGCAGAAGGGUUUUUGUCUGUAGGGGAAGGCAUGUGGCAGUGCAGUUGUAGCCAGGGACGAGUGAGGGCCUUGCUUCUAGCUCAGCCACGCUGGGGAGUGGGUUGGCUGUUGCUGCGUGGGUAAGGAUCCAUCAGAGACAGCGUCCCCAGCCUGCUGCUGGCGGUGAGCUCUGCCUUUGGGCCCGCUGUGAGCAGCCGCCUGGCAUGUAAGGUGUGUCAGAAUGGUGCGCGGUGAAUGGGAACUUUGGGAAGUGGUUAGUUAACGAAUUAAAUAAUUGCACCUUGCCCUUCUCCCUUCAUGUAAGCGUAACGAAUGCACAGUUCAGGUAAUAAGCAGAAACCAAGA